AAAAACUACGUUAUUUCGGAGUGUAUAUAAGGAUUUCAUCGCUGGAGAGCUGAGAGCUUGGUUUGCUGUUUGACAGAACCAAAAGUGUGUAGCUGAAGAUGCACUUCCAUUAAAGAAAUGAUGUGAGAUGCAUCUAUCUACAGGGUCCAGUUAUUGACUGACCUGGCGUAAAGGCACUGCUCUCCAUUGGGGUAGCUGAAGCUUUGCUUGUGGCUGCAGGACUGGCUGGGGUCUGAUCCGGGACUCUGCGGCUCUUUCUUAAUCUUCACAGGCGGGCUGUGGAAUGCCACUGCUGCGAUACACAGAGAAACAGCCCAGCUUUUUGAGAUUUUUGGCGUUUGGCUGAGGAGUAGCAGAGGAACCGCCCAGCAUGCGUGGGGUCUGGGUCUGAACUGCAGUGCUGUUUAUUAUUGGAGGGGAGCAGCCGGGCUCAAAGACGGCACGGUACAGGAUGUUUUUCUGGGCCGCUCAGGGUAAACAGCAGCAGCUGUGCUCUUCCAGCUGAGCAGCAGCUCUGUGUUUAUGGCUGUUUAUGUGUUGAUUGUCGUGGGCGCAGACCUGACAGAACAGGCACCGUUGAAACCCAAGCCCAGAGAAACCCAUGAGGACAGCAGGCCAAACCAGCUGCAAGGCAGAAAAUGAUUGAGGUGAGACAGAGAGAGAGAGCGCUUUGUGUCGGUCAAGGGUCAGAUCUUCACUGCUAAAUGAGAACAAUCUGGAGCUGCUUGAGAACUGUGAGUCCAACCAAAGAAGACACAGAUUAAAAGUGCUGCAAAAUCAGCUAAGGCCAAACACUGCAAUCAAACAUACUAUUUAUGCACCUGUUAGUUUUGAAGUUUUGGGCUUUUUGGCUUACCAUGUAGAGAUCUUUUCAGUGUUAAUAUAAAAUACAUCUUAUAAUUAUUUCCUCUCUCA
rnacentral:lncRNA from 1 species